UCCCCAAGGUGAACAGCCUCUGUUCAAUAUGAAAAAUGCAGGUAAGGGAAGUCGGCAAAUUAGACCCGUAACUUUGGGAAAAGGGUUGGCUCUAGUGCUGCGUGGGAGUGGUUGUCGUAUUUCGGGUGCUUCAGCUAGGCACUUUGUUGCGGGAGGGGUUCCUUCGGGAAAACCUUCUGUGGCAUUGAGCUCCGCAGGCGUAUCUGAGUGCGACGACGCCCACAGCAUGCAGCAGACUAGAACUGCAACGGGCAAAGGGAAUCCGACUGUUUAAUUAAAACAAAGCAUUGCGAAGGCCGUGGCCGGUGAUGACGCAAU
rnacentral:rRNA from 1 species